rnacentral:snRNA from 1 species
CUGCUCAUGUCAGCAGCACAUAUACUAAAAAUUGGGAAUGAUACAGAGAUUACCAGGGCUCCUCGACAAGGAUGACACGUCCAUUCAUGGAGCAUUCCAUAUUUUU